rnacentral:rRNA from 1 species
AAUCAACGCUGGCGGCGUGCCUAACACAUGCAAGUCGAGCGAGAAAAGGGGAGCAAUCCCCUGAGUACAGCGGCGCACGGGUGAGUAACACGUGGGUAAUCUGCCCUGGAGUGGGGAAUAACACCGGGAAACCGGUGCUAAUACCGCAUACGAUCACAGAGUCUGCAGAUUUUGUGAUGAAAGGAGCAAUUCGCUCUAGGAGGAGCCCGCGGCUGAUUAGCUAGUUGGUGAGGUAAUGGCUCACCAAGGCAACGAUCAGUAUCCGGUCUGAGAGGACGGUCGGACACACUGGAACUGAGACACGGUCCAGACUCCUACGGGAGGCAGCAGUGGGGAAUUUUUGGCAAUGGGGGCAACCCUGACCAAGCAACGCCGCGUGGGUGAUGAAGUCUCUUGGGACGUAAAACCCUUUCGACGGGGACGAAAGCCGCAAGGUUUGACGGUACCCGUAGAAGAAGCCCCGGCUAACUCCGUGCCAGCCGCCGCGGUAAUAC